UAAUACGUAGGCGGCAAGCGUUAUCCGGAUUUACUGGGCGUAAAGAGGGCGUAGGCGGUCUUUCAAGUCGAUUGUGAAAUCUCCCGGCUUAACUGGGAGGGGACAGUCGAUACUGUUAGACUAGAGGGCAGCAGGGGGAGGUGGAAUUCCCGGUGUAGUGGUGAAAUGUGUAGAUAUCGGGAGGAACACCAGUGGCGAAGGCGGCCUCCUAGGCUGUUUCUAACGCUGAGGCCCGAAAGCGUGGGGAGCAAACAGGAUCAGAUACCCUGGUAGUCCACGCUGUAAACUAUGGACACUAGGUAUAGGGAGUAUCGACCCUCUCUGUGCCGAAGCUAACGCAUUAAGUGUCCCGCCUGGGGACUACGGCCGCAAGGCUA
rnacentral:rRNA from 1 species